rfam:Acinetobacter radioresistens SK82 contig00056, whole genome shotgun sequence.
GUUACAGCAAAAUCUGUAAUCGGGCGUGGAAACCUGAAAAUUACUACAGAAGCAUUAAAACCGCUUUAGCGGUUUUUUG